UACGUAGGGUGUGAGCGUUGUCCGGAAUUAUUGGGCGUAAAGGGCUCGUAGGCGGUUUGUCGCGUCGGGAGUGAAAACCUUGGGCUUAACUCAGGGCUUGCUUUCGAUACGGGCAGACUAGAGGUAUGCAGGGGAGAACGGAAUUCCUGGUGUAGCGGUGAAAUGCGCAGAUAUCAGGAGGAACACCGGUGGCGAAGGCGGUUCUCUGGGCAUGAUCUGACGCUGAGGAGCGAAAGUGUGGGGAGCGAACAGG
rnacentral:rRNA from 1 species